CGGGCGUUAGGGAAUUUCGGGUUGGUCGGGAGCCCGCGGAAACAGGGGGUACAUUGAAUUGGUAAGUCCGCGGGCCCGAAAAUCCCCGUUGAUGGCAGCCAUUUGACGUCGCCAACUGGUGUGCUCGAAUUUUUAAGCCGCUUAGCUUGACCAAAAACUUCCUCACACCCCAAACAUGGUCAAAACCCCUUGUUCAGCCCGCGCGAGGAAAAAAAAAGCUAGAAACGAUGACCAAAUUAAAGGCAACACGCUCGGGGCGAAAAUUAAGCAGGCUCAGCUUCAAAAUUUUGACAGUUUUGUGAACUGUACAACACUGUUAGGAUGCGAGCAAUUGUUUAUAUUUUGGCAGUAAUAUAAACACAUACGUAAAACAGGUUUCUAAUUUGACGAAAGGAAGCGGAAAAGUGAAUUGCACCGGGUGAAUCCCCAGGAUGGAUCCACUCAUCCUCUUUGCGGCCUGUCAUAAAAUGCAGCCAAAGGCGUUGCGGCAGAUGUCAUUGUGUUUGUUGACUUUUAAUGCCGUCUGGUCUCGCUUUUCCGCUUCCGGCUCGACCCUCGCAUUACGUAAAAACCGCUGGUGGAUUCGGCGAAGAGUGUCAGGAAUCGAUGUCAUCGCUGACUGUCGCCACAUUCAUUAAUCAACCCGAAGGGUCAGGGGUCGCGAGGAGCGUCGGCAGCAAGGGGUCCGGGUGGGGAGCUGAGACAGCUGGGUGUCAUCAGCUAGCCAAUGGCAAACAAAUGAAUGCUGGACAUUGAUGGUGACAGCAUCGUGUUUAUAAUUACAAAACCCCAAAAGCCAAAAACUUUGAUUCGCCAAGAAGUUGAUGACAUUAAUGAUUUGCGACCGGACCGACCCUGUUGAAAUGCGAGAAGUAAAAGUACUCGUACGCCCCAUUCACCGGGCUAAGCAAACGGAAAUUUCAAUCACGCCCUUUAACCUUUUACGUAGCAAACUCCUUGCAAUUGCAAACUGCACAAAAAUAAUGACAGGCACUGUAUGCAUUUUUGCCACUCAUUUUUGGAUUUUUCGGCCCCCACUUGCGUGACUCACGAAACGAAUCUCUACCUGGCCCGAAAACUAAAGGAGUCGGGGGCACCAAAGACGAAGAAGGAAAAGCGAAAUCCAGUAAAGUAAAAAUUUUGUGGAAUGGAAAAUCUGGGGGGCGAAACACUACCGGGCCAAAAUUGAACAUUGGAGUCGAGGGAAACGCAGGAAUGUGGAAUGCCUUUAUAGACUCCAAUUAAAAGUGUGAUGCCCUUUUCAGGUUUUGUAGCUUCCCCC
rnacentral:sRNA from 1 species